UAGGGAAUCUUCCACAAUGGACAAAAGUCUGAUGGAGCAACGCCGCGUGAGUGAAGAAGGGUUUCGGCUCGUAAAACUCUGUUGUUAAAGAAGAACAUAUCUGAGAGUAACUGUUCAGGUAUUGACGGUAUUUAACCAGAAAGCCACGGCUAACUACGUGCCAA
rnacentral:rRNA from 1 species